rnacentral:lncRNA from 1 species
GGACCAUCUAGUUGCGGGGAUACAAGCUCAGGACUCCCACUGAUUCUACAUUAUAAUGGCAUCAACACAGCUGCCACAGCUCCAGGCAAACAUCCACAUGCAACAUCCCAAGGUCUCACCCAGAUGUAGAAGAGAUUAAAUGACAGUUUGACACCUUUAAGGUCUGAAAAGAGAUAUUUACCGUAUUCUCCCUAAGGCUGCAUCUGGAGGUUUCAUCUACAUAACAAGAACCUUGGCUUCUGCAACCCCUCUUAUCUUAACUCAAGCAUUUACCUCAAGUCUGCAGACAAAGCUUAACUUUUUCAACCAAUUGCCAGUCAGAAAAUCUUUUAAUCCACCUGUGACCUGUAACCAGCCUCCCCCCCACUUUGAGAUUCCCACCUUUUUGGGGCAAAU